UAGCAACAAGGUGGUAUCUCUUCUCGGAU
rnacentral:piRNA from 1 species